UGCAAGUCGAACGAACUCUGGUAUUGAUUGGUGCUUGCAUCAUGAUUUACAUUUGAGUGAGUGGCGAACUGGUGAGUAACACGUGGGAAACCUGCCCAGAAGCGGGGGAUAACACCUGGAAACAGAUGCUAAUACCGCAUAACAACUUGGACCGCAUGGUCCGAGUUUGAAAGAUGGCUUCGGCUAUCACUUUUGGAUGGUCCCGCGGCGUAUUAGCUAGAUGGUGAGGUAACGGCUCACCAUGGCAAUGAUACGUAGCCGACCUGAGAGGGUAAUCGGCCACAUUGGGACUGAGACACGGCCCAAACUCCUACGGGAGGCAGCAGUAGGGAAUCUUCCACAAUGGACGAAAGUCUGAUGGAGCAACGCCGCGUGAGUGAAGAAGGGUUUCGGCUCGUAAAACUCUGUUGUUAAAGAAGAACAUAUCUGAGAGUAACUGUUCAGGUAUUGACGGUAUUUAACCAGAAAGCCACGGCUAACUACGUGCCAGCAGCCGCGGUAAUACGUAGGUGGCAAGCGUUGUCCGGAUUUAUUGGGCGUAAAGCGAGCGCAGGCGGUUUUUUAAGUCUGAUGUGAAAGCCUUCGGCUCAACCGAAGAAGUGCAUCGGAAACUGGGAAACUUGAGUGCAGAAGAGGACAGUGGAACUCCAUGUGUAGCGGUGAAAUGCGUAGAUAUAUGGAAGAACACCAGUGGCGAAGGCGGCUGUCUGGUCUGUAACUGACGCUGAGGCUCGAAAGUAUGGGUAGCAAACAGGAUUAGAUACCCUGGUAGUCCAUACCGUAAACGAUGAAUGCUAAGUGUUGGAGGGUUUCCGCCCUUCAGUGCUGCAGCUAACGCAUUAAGCAUUCCGCCUGGGGAGUACGGCCGCAAGGCUGAAACUCAAAGGAAUUGACGGGGGCCCGCACAAGCGGUGGAGCAUGUGGUUUAAUUCGAAGCUACGCGAAGAACCUUACCAGGUCUUGACAUACUAUGCAAAUCUAAGAGAUUAGACGUUCCCUUCGGGGACAU
rnacentral:rRNA from 2 species